UACGUAGGGGGCGAGCGUUGUCCGGAUUUAUUGGGCGUAAAGAGCUCGUAGGCGGUCUGUCGCGUCGAUCGUGAAAACUUGGGGCUUAACCCUGAGCUUGCGGUCGAUACGGGCAUGACUGGAGUUCGGCAGGGGAGACUGGAAUUCCUGGUGUAGCGGUGAAAUGCGCAGAUAUCAGGAGGAACACCGGCGGCGAAGGCGGGUCUCUGGGCCGUAACUGACACUGAGGAGCGAAAGCGUGGGGAGCGAACAGG
rnacentral:rRNA from 1 species